CAGCAGCCGCGGUAAUACGUAGGUGGCAAGCGUUGUCCGGAAUCAUUGGGCGUAAAGCGCGCGCAGGCGGAUAGGUCAGUCUGUCUUAAAAGUUCGGGGCUUAACCCCGUGAUGGGAUGGAAACUGCCAAUCUAGAGUAUCGGAGAGAAAAGUGGAAUUCCUAGUGUAGCGGUGAAAUGCGUAGAGAUUAGGAGGAACACCAGUGGCGAAAGCGGCUCUCUGGCUUGUAACUGACGCUGAGGCUCGAAAGCGUGGGGAGCAAACAGGAUUAGAUACCCGUGUAGUCCCUGUCUCUUAUACA
rnacentral:rRNA from 1 species